rnacentral:ncRNA from 2 species
AUAAAUCUUCAGGGCAGGGUGCAAUUCCCGACCGGCGGUGAUAGUCCGCGAACCGAAAGGUUGAUCUGGUGAAAUUCCAAAACCGACAGUAGAGUCUGGAUGGUAGAAGAUGAAA